rnacentral:rRNA from 1 species
GAUGAACGCUGGCGGCGUGCCUAAUACAUGCAAGUCGAGCGAACUGAUUAGAAGCUUGCUUCUAUGACGUUAGCGGCGGACGGGUGAGUAACACGUGGGCAACCUGCCUGUAAGACUGGGAUAACUUCGGGAAACCGAAGCUAAUACCGGAUAGGAUCUUCUCCUUCAUGGGAGAUGAUUGAAAGAUGGUUUCGGCUAUCACUUACAGAUGGGCCCGCAGUGCAUUAGCUAGUUGGUGAGGUAACGGCUCACCAAGGCAACGAUGCAUAGCCGACCUGAGAGGGUGAGCGGCAACACUGGGACUGAGACACGGCCCAGACUCCUACGGGAGGCAGCAGUAGGGAAUCUUCCGCAAUGGACGAAAGUCUGACGGAGCAACGCCGCGUGAGUGAUGAAGGCUUUCGGGUCGUAAAACUCUGUUGUUAGGGAAGAACAAGUACGAGAGUAACUGCUCGUACCUUGACGGUACCUAACCAGAAAGCCACGGCUAACUACGUGCCAGCCGCCGCCGUAAAAC